rnacentral:rRNA from 1 species
CCCCUAGACGUUCUGGGCUGCACGCGCGCUACAAUAAUACGCACAGCGAGUAUCACCGAGCUCGAAAGGGCAAGGUAAACAAUAGAAAAGGUACUGUAAUGGUUAUAGAUCCUUGUAAUUAUUGAUCUUCAACGAGGAAUUCCUAGUAAGUAUGUGUCAUCAUCACGCACUGAUUACGUCCCUGCCCUUUGUACACACCGCCCGUCGCUCCUACCGAUUGGGUGAGCCGAUGAAACUCUCGGAUGUCGGCUAUUCAUAGCCCGCAGAAGAGAUUUGAAUCGUGGCGCUUAGAGGAAGGAGAAGUCGUAACA